rnacentral:rRNA from 1 species
AUUGAACGCUGGCGGCAUGCUUUACACAUGCAAGUCGAACGGCAGCGGGGUAGUGCUUGCACUACUGCCGGCGAGUGGCGAACGGGUGAGUAAUAUAUCGGAACGUACCGAGUAAUGGGGGAUAACCAAUCGAAAGAUUGGCUAAUACCGCAUACGUCCUGAGGGAGAAAGCGGGGGAUCGCAAGACCUCGCGUUAUUCGAGCGGCCGAUAACUGAUUAGCUAGUUGGUGGGGUAAAGGCCUACCAAGGCGACGAUCAGUAGCGGGUCUGAGAGGACGAUCCGCCACACUGGGACUGAGACACGGCCCAGACUCCUACGGGAGGCAGCAGUGGGGAAUUUUGGACAAUGGGGGCAACCCUGAUCCAGCCAUGCCGCGUGUAUGAAGAAGGCCUUCGGGUUGUAAAGUACUUUUGUUAGGGAAGAAAAGGGAAGUGCUAAUACCACUUUUUGCUGACGGUACCUAAAGAAUAAGCACCGGCUAACUACGUGCCAGCAGCCGCGGUAAUACGUAGGGUGCGAGCGUUAAUCGGAAUUACUGGGCGUAAAGCGAGCGCAGACGGUUAUUUAAGCAGGAUGUGAAAUCCCCGGGCUCAACCUGGGAACUGCGUUCUGAACUGGAUAGCUAGAGUGUGUCAGAGGGGGGUAGAAUUCCACGUGUAGCAGUGAAAUGCGUAGAGAUGUGGAGGAAUACCGAUGGCGAAGGCAGCCCCCUGGGAUAACGCUGACGUUCAUGCUCGAAAGCGUGNGUAGCAAACAGG